UACGGAGGGUGCAAACGUUGCUCGGAAUCAUUGGGCAUAAAGCGCACGUAGGCGGUGCCGUAAGUCGGAUGUGAAAUCCCUCGGCCUAACCGAGGAACUGCGUCCGAUACUGCGGUGCUUGAGGAUCAGAGGGGUGCAUGGAAUUUCCGGUGGAGCGGUGAAAUGCGUUGAUAUCGGAAGGAACUCCGGCGGCGAAAGCGAUGCACUGGCUGAUUUCUGACGCUGAGGUGCGAAAGCCAGGGGAGCAAACGGG
rnacentral:rRNA from 1 species